UUACUUUAUUCGGUACUGCGGCUGCAUCACAAUCCAUCAGGGAAACUCGGGACUGCGAUUAACUCUUACAGGCGGUGGGGAGCAAAGAGGACCGACCGAUACAGUCCAGGGAAUUUUCAUCUGUCCCUCAGCCACAGGGGCUUGCUCUCGCAGCUGCCGAAGCCAUGCCACAGCCCGGGAGCCAUCGGGCGGCAGAAGGGAUGGCCCCGCUGCUGCCUCCACAACCGCUUGUGGCUGCCGUGGUUCUGAAACAUGAUAUUAGAAAUUAGAGGAUAUUAAUCAUAGAAAUUAGAAAAAGUUCUUUAAAAGAGUAGGCAUUCAGAUGAUGUAUUGCUGCCCUUAGAAAAAACAGAAGUAUGUAGGAAUGCAAGGAUGCUUGAUAAGAAGGAGAAUGCUUACCCAAAGCAGGAGACAAGAAUGCAAGUGAACCAAAGAUACUAAGAUAACAGGCGCCUUGCACCCCCGGGGACAGAUAAAACUGACCUUACAGCUUGAGCUAUGACCAGAGCAUCAGUGAGCAUGCGCAAGGCGCCAGGGUCAAAAGUUCAUCUCGAGAGGAGUUGAGAGGAAGACUUCUUCCUUCAUCGCUGAGACCCCCAGAGAAGACCACCAGAGACAACUGCGCAGGCGCAAAAGACUGAUGAGCUAAUAAACAUACAAAGUGGGGGGGGGAGCCAAAGGAUGAAUAUGCAUGAGGGUCUUGUGAAACUCAAUACAUAUGCAACAUUCCAGAAGAUAAAAGAGAAAUGUAAAGUGACCAAGGUGCACAUGCCUUUGAGAAUUAUCUCACAUCGCACCCAGCGCUGAAUAAACCGCAUAAGUCUUUUCCGCAUGUCAUUUUGGCACCGCAGAUGGCACGUUCUCUGCCCAGCCGCAGGAAUGGCUGAGGGGUGGACUUCCUAAGGCACCGACAGGAUUUUCCUGGAAGGAAUUCUGCUCCUCAGGUCGCUCACUGCUGGGGCAGACAACGGCCCCUGAGCAGUGGAGAAACAGUAUGUAUUUCUUUAAAAAGGGGCCCCGUAAAGACCACUGGUAAGUCGCACAGAGAUGUCUGAGCGCACAGAAAGGGUUUUGGUGGAUUUGGGCUUGCAGGUGACCGCUGGCCGAACGUGUGGCCAGAGGUGGGAACCACUGACCGAGGGAAAGGCAGCGGGGAGGGGUUCGUUGACCGUGGAUUGGCCGCUAGCGAUUCUGGGGGUGAAUCGAGCAAACUCCUGUUUUAUUGCUGCUAUUUGGUUGUGUGCAUGUGAGUUUGAGAAAAGUUCAGGUGUGUUUUGUGUUUGGUUCUGUGCCUUCCUGAGAGCAGUGGGGAGGGGUUCGUUGACCGUGGAUCGGCCUCUGGCGAUUCUGGGGGUGAUUCGAGCAAAGUCCUAUUUGGUUGUGUGCAUGUGAGUUUGAGAAAAGUUUGAGUGUGUUUUGUGUUUGGUUCUGUGCCUGCCUGAGAGCGUAUGUGAAAUGACCGUGCGUUUGAGAGCUGUGUUGUAUUUCUGAGGUUAUAAAUGCAUCAAAGUACUGGUUAUAUAUAUUUCCUUUCUUAUUGUGCUCACAGAAAACUCUUUGGACUUUUUGCGGGUUUUUUCCUUUUUUUCUUUUACAGCGUGCUGUUGUAAAGUUUGUUUAGUAUAGUUUGCCAAGAAUUCUGUCCUUAAAGGGUUUCGCAUUCUGCUUUGAUGGGGUGCUGUCUAUAGAGAUUGUUGUUGUGAGGUGUCUGAGAACCUUUAGAGUUUGUGUGAUAAACUGCCUGGGGUUUUUGUGUAUUGCUGUUUUUUUCAUGCUUUUGUUGUGAGUAUCGCCUUUAGGGUUUUAGAUGAUAAAUGCUGUUCUAGGUUGGUGCGGUUUGUUUUAAUGUUUUGCUAACAGUGGUGUUUUCUUGAGUAGAAGACAGUGCUUGUGCCCAGUGUAGGGUAAAAGGGUGACGAGAGCCCUAAACUAGAGAUUUUACAGUACUUGGUAGAAAUAAUGAGAUUGGGAGAGAGUAAGAAAAUCCCAAAGGCAAGCCCCUCGGGCUGUAUUUAGCUCACUGGAAGGAGGUGAAAUUUAUGGUAGACACGGGGGCAACCCUUUCAGUUUUGAAUAAAGCUUUGGUGCCAGUGGGAAAUGACUGUGUUAAAGUGUGGAGAGCAACUGGCCAACCUGAAAUAGCAUACUUUUGCAAGCCGCUUGAAUACAAAUAUGAGAAACAGUGUGGCAUCCAUAAAUUUCUAUACAUGCCCAACUCCCCGGAUUCUCUCCUAGAGAGAGAUCUGUUAGAGAAAUUGGAGGCAACCAUUUAGUUUAAAAAUGGAGAGGUUACUCUAGAGGUAAAUGAGCAGAUACCGGGUGGUACAAGACUUAUAGUCUCUCAAUAAGAUAACUGAGGAUCUCUACUCUGUGGUAGCUAACCCAUAUACCUUGUUAACGUGUUUGACACCAGAGCUAACUUAGUUUACUGUUUUAGAUUUGAAAGAUGCCUUCUUUUGCCUCCCUCUCCACGAAGCCAGCCAGAAAAUUUUCGCAUUUGAAUGAGAGAAUCCCAAAAGCAGAUGCAAAAUUCAGCUCACAUGGACAGUGCUUCCACAAAGGUAGAGAACAGCCCCACCCUGUUUGAAAGCUCCACCAGAAGGGAGACUGUUGCAGUAUGUGGAUGACAUCCUAAUAGCUACCCCAAAAGAAGAAGAGUGUGUAGCCUGGAUGGUAAGCCUUCUAAACUUUUUGGGGCUUCAGGGGUGUGAGAGUCGGGGCCCAAGGGUCCCUGGUUUUGCCUCACAACCUUCGUCAAGGUCCUCAGUCAAGGAAGGGACUGUGUGCAAGGAGCUCGGGCCUAACCCAUGGUGUGUGUGUGUACCAAGCACUGAACUGCAGGUGUGACUACUGGACCGGAGCUGGCUCCCAUGGGAACUUGUACGAAGACAAUGGACGGCUGGACAGCCUGUGCUUACCUGCAACCAGGCCCAGACCUGCUUGUCCCAGACCUCCUCGAUCUAAACGGUUGCACCUGGUUCCCAGAGCAACGGGGCUCCUCACAAUGACUUUCGGGUGCUCCCUCCCGCUUCUGCCUGCCUUGGCCAGGUGCCCCCCGCUUCUGAAAUGACUAUAAAAGCUUCCCCCUGUGACUCACACUUUGAGAUCUCCCCACGGACAGAAGACGGAUCCAUUGGCCAGAUGCCACGCCACGAGGACGCCUCUGCCGUUGUCCUGAAGACUUCACAACCGCGCUGCUGAAUCAACGGAGUUUUCUUGACGACGAUCGUGAGUCACGGGGUGGUGUGAGAGUCGGGGCCCAAGGGUCCCUGGUUUUGCCUCACGACCUUCGUCAAGGUCCUCAGUCAAGGAAGGGACUGUGUGCAAGGGGCUCGGGCCUAACCCACGGUGUGUGUGUGUACCAAGCACUGAACUGCAGGUGUGACUACUGGACCGGAGCUGGCUCCCAUGGGAACUUGUACGAAGACAAUGGACGGCUGGACAGCCUGUGCUUACCUGCAACCAGGCCCAGACCUGCUUGUCCCAGACCUCCUCGAUCUAAACGGUUGCACCUGGUUCCCAGAGCAACGGGGCUCCUCACAAUGACUUUCGGGUGCUCCCUCCCGCUUCUGCCUGCCUUGGCCAGGUGCCCCCCGCUUCUGAAAUGACUAUAAAAGCUUCCCCCUGUGACUCACACUUUGAGAUCUCCCCACGGACAGAAGACGGAUCCAUUGGCCAGACGCCACGCCACGAGGACGCCUCUGCCGUUGGUAGCUAUAUCCCCCUGCCCCCCUUUCCUCGCUCUGUAUCCUAUUUUUCCUUUCUCACUCCCUCUAUCGCAAGUGUUGUUGGCACUCAAUAAAGGUGCAUUUGUUGUAUGAUUAAA